AGUGAACGCUGGCGGUAGGCCUAACACAUGCAAGUCGAACGGCAGCACAGUAAGAGCUUGCUCUUACGGGUGGCGAGUGGCGGACGGGUGAGGAAUACAUCGGAAUCUACUUUUUCGUGGGGGAUAACGUAGGGAAACUUACGCUAAUACCGCAUACGACCUACGGGUGAAAGCAGGGGAUCUUCGGACCUUGCGCGAUUGAAUGAGCCGAUGUCGGAUUAGCUAGUUGGCGGGGUAAAGGCCCACCAAGGCGACGAUCCGUAGCUGGUCUGAGAGGAUGAUCAGCCACACUGGAACUGAGACACGGCCCAGACUCCUACGGGAGGCGGCAGUGGGGAAUAUUGGACAAUGGGCGCAAGCCUGAUCCAGCCAUACCGCGUGGGUGAAGAAGGCCUUCGGGUUGUAAAGCCCUUUUGUUGGGAAAGAAAAGCAGCAGGUUAAUACCCCGCUGUUCUGACGGUACCCAAAGAAUAAGCACCGGCUAACUUCGUG
rnacentral:rRNA from 1 species